CCUACGGGAGGCUGCAGUGGGGAAUAUUGGACAAUGGGGGGAACCCUGAUCCAGCGACGCCGCGUGAGUGAAGAAGUAUUUCGGUAUGUAAAGCUCUAUCAGCAGGGAAGAAAAUGACGGUACCUGACUAAGAAGCCCCGGCUAACUACGUGCCAGCAGCCGCGGUAAUACGUAGGGGGCAAGCGUUAUCCGGAUUUACUGGGUGUAAAGGGAGCGUAGACGGUGCAGCAAGUCUGAUGUGAAAGGUCGGGGCCCAACCCCGGGACUGCAUUGGAAACUGUUGAACUGGAGUACAGGAGAGGUCAGCCGAAUUCCUAGUGUAGCGGUGAAAUGCGUAGAUAUCAAGCAGAACCCCGAUUGCGAAGGCAGCUUACCAAGCUACUUCUGACGUUGAGGCACGAAAGCGUGGGGAGCAAACAGGAUUAGAUACCCUUGUAGUC
rnacentral:rRNA from 1 species